rnacentral:rRNA from 1 species
CUACGGGUUGCUGCAGUGAGGAAUAUUGCACAAUGGGGGGAACCCUGAUGCAGCAACGCCGCGUGGAGGAUGACGCAUUUCGGUGUGUAAACUCCUUUUAUAUGUCAAGGAAAUGACGGUAGCAUAUGAAUAAGCACCGGCUAACUCCGUGCCAGCAGCCGCGGUAAUACGGAGGGUGCAAGCGUUACUCGGAAUCACUGGGCGUAAAGGACGCGUAGGCGGGUUGGAAAGUCAGGUGUGAAAUCCUACAGCUUAACUGUAGAACUGCACUUGAAACUUCUAAUCUAGAGUAUGGGAGGGGGAGAUGGAAUUAGUGGUGUAGGGGUAAAAUCCGUAGAUAUCACUAGGAAUACCUAAAGCGAAGGCGAUCUCCUGGAACAUUACUGACGCUAAGGCGUGAAAGCGUGGGGGGCAAACAGGAUUAGAUACCCCUGUAGUC